rnacentral:rRNA from 1 species
CAGCAGCCGCGGUAAUACGUAGGUGGCAAGCGUUGUCCGGAAUUAUUGGGCGUAAAGGGCUCGCAGGCGGUUUCUUAAGUCUGAUGUGAAAGCCCCCGGCUCAACCGGGGAGGGUCAUUGGAAACUGGGAAACUUGAGUACAGAAGAGGAGAGUGGAAUUCCACGUGUAGCGGUGAAAUGCGUAGAGAUGUGGAGGAACACCAGUGGCGAAGGCGACUCUCUGGUCUGUAACUGACGCUGAGGAGCGAAAGCGUGGGGAGCGAACAGGAUUAGAUACCCGGGUAGUCCCUGUCUCUUAUAC